UACGGAGGAUGCAAGCGUUAUCCGGAAUGAUUGGGCGUAAAGCGUCCGCAGGUGGCUAUGUAAGUCUGCUGUUAAAGAGUGAGGCUCAACCUCAUAAGAGCAGUGGAAACUACAUGGCUAGAGUGCGUUCGGGGCAGAGGGAAUUCCUGGUGUAGCGGUGAAAUGCGUAGAGAUCAGGAAGAACACCGGUGGCGAAGGCGGAUCUCUGGGCCUUACCUGACGCUCAAGUGCGAAAGCUAGGGGAGCGAACAGG
rnacentral:rRNA from 1 species